CAACCGCAGGGAACCGCUGCUGCUGAUAUAUUAUCCACCCAUCUUUGACAUUUCUAUAUCACAGUGGCUGUUCUUUUUGGUUGC
rnacentral:pre_miRNA from 12 species